GUUUAUAGUGUCCUCCAUCUCUCCGCUUUCUCUCAUUUUCUUAUAUUAAGGACAAUUCUCACUUCCAGAGACUUCUGCAGUUCCUCCUUCAUCUUAUUCUUGUAAUCUCUGCAGAGCGGUUGGAGAGUGAAGCGGCACAAAGCUGACCUUAUAAAGACUCCUCCUGACCAGACCACACCUCUGUCCCUGAGUCCAUGGAAGCCAAGGCCAAGUCGGGGGCUACAGCACCCAAGGCGGCACCUAAAGCAGAGAAGAAGGAGCCGGCAGCCCCACGCAAGGCAGACCCUGCCCCUGCAGCCCCUGAACCUGAGCAUCCUCCUCCCCAGGAUGGGGCAGCAGAAGCUGAAGCAGAAGCAGCAGGUGACGAGGCUGUGGCCUCCGGCACAGACUCUCUGGAACACCUGAAACCCUUUCUCAUUGGUGGUGCCGUUAUUGCUGCAGGAGCCAUCUUGCUGGGAGUGUUGCUACUGGCGAGGAGAAAUUAAAACCAAAUCAUUAUCUCAAAUUAAAGUAUGUAUUGGUUGAUGAGUUAGAGCAUUGUUGCUGAAUGGUUCACAGACUAUUAAGGUAUAGAUGGGGGGUGGGGAGCCACUGUGCAUCUUAUGUUUGUUUGUUUUUUGGCCUGCUUUCACUUGUAGUGAAUCAAACCAUUCAAGUUUUGAUAUGGAGUAUAAUUACACAUAAUAUAUGCAUGAAGUUGCUUCAAUACUGCAUCUGAACUGUAAUCUAUUUCUUUAAAAAACUUAAACUCACACUGUAGUAUGGAGCUGAAAAGCCUAAACUCUGUAAAGGUAGUUUAUUCAACUGCUUUAUCUUUUCUAAUCCAGUUUGCACAGAUAUUGAUAAUAUUGCAAUAUUUGUACAUUCUUGCUCUGAAAAUCAGCUUGAUUCACUUUGCUAUAAAAUUAUGAAAAACUGUAUUCAUAAUGUUGAAACUUAAUACUGUUUAUCAGAGUUGUUCUAGGUUUUAUUUUGAUUUUAAAUAAGACAAUGGAAAGAGAAGGCCUGAAAACAGAUGGUAAUAUGCAUUGUGAUGUAUUGCACAUAUUUUGGCUAAAGUGAAGGGAUUCAGUUCAUCGACAUUGCAUAUCCAAAAAUGUCAAGUAUAAAAUGGCACAGUGCAGUUAAAAAAAUAAAAAUCAACUUGUUCAAGACAGAAAAUAUAAGCAUGCAGUGGUUUAGGGGUGAGAUUUAGGGGAUUGUAGGAGAUAUAACAUGUACAGUAUGUGUCAGAGAAUAAUAGUGACGUUACCUCUUACUGUAGAAUAAGAAAGAGUUUUAUUUUACUGUCAAAUGAUGUCACAAAUCAAUAACCUUUCAUGUCUCACACAACAUCAACAGUCAUGCUGGUUCAAUCGGUUUACAUAUUGGAUACUUUGCUGUAACAGGCUGGACAGCCAUUAGUGUUGCACUAUCAGGUUUAAGUAUUCUACCUGCAAUGGGAGUUGUUUAUAUCUUCACUGUGCUCCACUUAUAUGGCUUUAGGAAAACAUGAAAACUUCAUUCAUAAAUACGUACAACUAUAAUGUAAUGAGAGUAGCCUAGGUUGCUAAUUCAAUGAAAGUACGGUGUAGAUGAAUUACCGUUGUAUAGGAGAAAAUAAAGUCAAUAUUUCACAAUUGUGUUGCAGCAACAUUCACCUGUACAGCUGUGCACAAUAGUCCCCACUUAUGUAAAGGUCAUGGGGAUGUCCCUGUUGCAUAAGUAGAUAGCAGAAAGACGGUUCUGAUAUGCAGCAUUAUUUGAUUUUAGUUGUAAAUGUACUUUUACAACACAUUACUGGCCAAAAAUAUUGUAGAAACAUACCUCAUACACCACAGUAAACCACCCGAACCACAUCCAGUAGAUGGUAUGCCAACACCAAAACAAACUUCACCUUACAUUGUACAAUACAGUGUACCAAAAAAAAAAGAGAAAUCCUAUUUUCAUAAUUUCAACAGCGUAUAAAUGCAAUAAUUCAGAUAGGACUCCUUAUUUAGCACUUGAGCAGUAGCAAGUUAAAUGACUUAAUUAAGUGAUGAUGUGAUAAUACUGUUGGUGAUGAUGAUGUAUGUUAAAGAUGGAAAUGAUGGCGAUGUUACAGAUGAUGAUGGCAAAGAUGAUGUUUUUCAUGGUGACUGUAAUGAUAAUGGUUAUGAUAUAUUUUUGAUAUAUUUCUAACAUGUUUUCCUUAUGCACACUCCCCUCUGCCCCCAAACUCCUAAAUGUAAAAAAAGGAAGAGGUCGUAAUCCAACCUUUAUUAAAGACAGUGAACCAGC